UCUUUUAUUCCCCCAAAGAAGGAACGGGGACAGUGGCCCUGGGCACUGAAAUGCAGCGGGGCCACGCUUCCUCGGCAAGCACUGAGACCUCAUUAAGAUAGAAGCUUCUCUUUAAGCUCCCAGAGCAGUUAACCAGGAGAAAACCUUGACCUCACCCAGACAGCCAUCAAGAGGCCCAGCUAAGGGUUAGCAGAGCUGGGUCUGGGCGCUCCCAGCCCACUGCCCCCAUGCUCCCCGCGUGGCCUGCAGGAGGCUUCCAGGGCAGAGUGGGCCUGGAGGAAGGAGAGGUCAGCUUUGUCACUUUGUAAUCCCACCUCCGCCGUCAGGCUAUCCUGCUCCCCAUCAAGCUCGGCCCUGAGUAACCGCUAAAGCGUGUACUGUUCGCACAAAGAUCUGCACACUAAUGUCCACAGCAGCGUCAUUCACAAUGGCUCCCCAUGGAAACAGCCCAAAUGCCCAUCAGCUGAAGAGUGACGAGGACCAAGUGACACAGCCGCUAUGAAGCAUCCGUCAGCCAUAAACGGGAAGGGAAGACGCUGCAGGCGCUACUCGAUGAGCCUUGAAAACACCAGGCGUGGGAGGAGCUGCCACAGAGGGCCCAGCUUGCAGCUUGUGCUGGACGGAAUGUGCAGAAGAGGAAAUCCAGAGAUGGCAGUGGGGGCGGGGGAACUGGGGCAAAGGUGACGGGCGUCGCUGUUAAUGGGUGGAGGCCUUCUUUUAGAGGUGAUGGAAAAAAGUGAAUAUACUAAAAACUACUGAGUACGUACAAAGGUGGCUUCUCUGUUAUGCAGAUCAUGUCUAAGAAAUAAAAAACCAGAGUCAACAA